ACUCCUACGGGAGGCAGCAGUGGGGAAUUUUGGACAAUGGGCGAAAGCCUGAUCCAGCAAUGCCGCGUGAGUGAAGAAGGCCUUCGGGUUGUAAAGCUCUUUUGUCAGGGAAGAAACGGUGAAAGCUAAUAUCUUUUGCUAAUGACGGUACCUGAAGAAUAAGCACCGGCUAACUACGUGCCAGCAGCCGCGGUAAUACGUAGGGUGCAAGCGUUAAUCGGAAUUACUGGGCGUAAAGCGUGCGCAGGCGGUUUUGUAAGUCUGAUGUGAAAUCCCCGGGCUCAACCUGGGAAUUGCAUUGGAGACUGCAAGGCUAGAAUCUGGCAGAGGGGGGUAGAAUUCCACGUGUAGCAGUGAAAUGCGUAGAUAUGUGGAGGAACACCGAUGGCGAAGGCAGCCCCCUGGGUCAAGAUUGACGCUCAUGCACGAAAGCGUGGGGAGCAAACAGGAUUAGAUACCCGGGUAGUCCCAUGA
rnacentral:rRNA from 1 species